AACGAACGCUGGCGGCAGGCCUAACACAUGCAAGUCGAGCGCCCUUUCGGGGGAGCGGCGGACGGGUGAGUAACGCGUGGGAAUAUGCCCUUCUCUACGGAAUAGCCUCGGGAAACUGAGAGUAAUACCGUAUACGCCCUUUGGGGGAAAGAUUUAUCGGGGAAGGAUUAGCCCGCGUUGGAUUAGGUAGUUGGUGGGGUAAUGGCCUACCAAGCCGACGAUCCAUAGCUGGUUUGAGAGGAUGAUCAGCCACACUGGGACUGAGACACGGCCCAGACUCAGGCGGGGGGAAGCAGGGGGAGAGAUCAGAAGGUGGGGGCAACCAUGGUAGAGCAGUGCGGCGUGGGGGAUAAGGGCGUUAGGUGUGUAGAGCUAUGGAAGCUUGGAAGAGAAGGCCGGAAGCAGAAGAAGAAGCCCCGGCAAUCUCCGUGACAGCGGCCGGGAUAAUAGUCGGAAGAGCAUACGUCUGAAC
rnacentral:rRNA from 1 species